CUUAGAUGUCCUGGGCCGCACGCGCGCUACACUGAUGCGUUCAACGAGUUAUAACCUUGUCCGGCAGGACUGGGUAAUCUUGAAACGCGCAUCGUGAUAGGGAUAGAUUCUUGCAACUAUUGAUCUUGAACGAGGAAUUCCUAGUAAACGCGAGUCAUCAGCUCGCAUUGAUUACGUCCCUGCCCUUUGUACACACCGCCCGUCGCACCUACCGAUUGAACGAUUCGGUGAAGCUUUCGGACCGCGCCGUUGGCUUCUAGCCGGCAGUGCGGGAAGUUAUCUAAACCUCAUCGUUUAGAGGAAGGUGAAGUCGUAACAAGGUUUCCGUAGGUGAACCUGCGGAAGGAUCA
rnacentral:rRNA from 1 species